rnacentral:lncRNA from 1 species
AUAAUAAAUAUAUAUUUUGAUUUUUUGAAUAAUACUGUAAACUUAUAAAAAUACAAAGUGGCGAUCCAAAGCCUACACAACACCAAGUCAAAGAAAGAAGAAUGGUAGUUCCGAGUCUAAUAUGAUAGGAGAUGCACAUGCCAUUUAUUUGUAAGAUAUAAGGCAACUUUCAAAUUAAUUAGAGAAUGUAUUGCAACUAGUGAGAAAAGAACUUAGCACAAUUUGAAGGGUCUAGUAAGAGAACAAAGGUUCAAGCUUCUAGAGCAUCCUCAUACUCUUCUAAUCUAGACACAUCUGUCAAGUUACAAGCCAAUAUUACCUACCAUGGUUUGUCCAUGGGGACAAAAGCAGCAAAGAGGAAGGCAAUAAUAGAAAAUUGGUUACUCAACACCAAGAAGCAACAAGAAAGGAUGUGGAGCGUGCGAUAGGGAGUGUUUCAAUCUCGGUUAGUGAUUGUGAGUGAUCCUGUGCAUGCUUGGUAGAUGUAUACAACCAAACAUAUGUUAUACUACAUAACAUGAUUAUGGAAGGUGAAUGACACACAU